UAGAGAGAAGCUUGCUUCUCUUGAGAGCGGCGGACGGGUGAGUAAUGCCUAGGAAUCUGCCUGGUAGUGGGGGAUAACGUUCGGAAACGGACGCUAAUACCGCAUACGUCCUACGGGAGAAAGCAGGGGACCUUCGGGCCUUGCGCUAUCAGAUGAGCCUAGGUCGGAUUAGCUAGUUGGUGAGGUAAUGGCUCACCAAGGCGACGAUCCGUAACUGGUCUGAGAGGAUGAUCAGUCACACUGGAACUGAGACACGGUCCAGACUCCUACGGGAGGCAGCAGUGGGGAAUAUUGGACAAUGGGCGAAAGCCUGAUCCAGCCAUGCCGCGUGUGUGAAGAAGGUCUUCGGAUUGUAAAGCACUUUAAGUUGGGAGGAAGGGCAGUUACCUAAUACGUGAUUGUUUUGACGUUACCGACAGAAUAAGCACCGGCUAACUCUGUGCCAGCAGCCGCGGUAAU
rnacentral:rRNA from 1 species